rnacentral:lncRNA from 1 species
CUGCCAAUGAUGGCCUUUCCUGAGUGCUGACUGUGUGCCAGGCGCUGCUCUAAGUGCUGACUGUGCGCCAGGCGCUGCUCUAAGUGCUUUGCUUGUAUCAAUUCACCAAAUCCUCUCUGUCACCCUAUGAGGCAGAUGCUGUUUUUAACCCUGCAGAGUAGACAAAGAUACUGAGGCACAGAGAGGUGAAGCCUCUUGUCUAAGGUCACAUUGCUUUCAUGUAUUUCUGAGACCGUAAGCAACAGGAGGAUAAGAGCCAUAGCUGAUUCACCUCUGAAUUACUUGUGCCCAGCAAGUGCUUCCUGUACUCUGCAGAUGAGAGAGGUGGAUGAAGACUCCAGGGUCAAGAUCUCAACGCGAACAGGAUCUGCAAUUCACUUCUCUUCUACAGCAUUCUGUGGCAUUAGUCAGUCCAUUCCUGGCUUUGGACUCUUGUCUCCACGAUUGUCAAGCGGGACCUAGGAUCUUCUCGGUCACCCUUGCAGCAGCCUUUCCUCGCCAAACUGCAAUACCAGGCAUGGACAACAGGUGGCGCCAUCCAAUAUGGGAUUUGCUCCAUUUUCACAACCUUUCGCGUUUGAGAGCCUGUAUUCUGGCCGCCUUGAAUGGACCACCGGCAAAGGUGUUCGUCCUCGCUCCAAGACGUGUCAGAGCCCUGAAGCCUCCAGACACCUUCCUUUAAAGGAGGAAGUGGCACAAGAUGAAACAUCGGAUUUGGGAGAAGAACGGAAGGCUGGAGUCCACAGUACCUGCAGGCCAGCUCUCAGGGACUGAGGUUCAAGAACCCAUUCAUUUGGAGAAGGUUAGUGAAAGUCCAAGAUGGUGACACAGGCAGUGGAUGCUAUGGAUGUUACAUCACGGAGGGGAGAAAGGCAAAUAGCAUUCGUUGACCUCCUGCUACAGGGCUGUAUGUUACCACAUUGGGAUGUGACAGUGACACCACAGGGGAGGUGUCAUUCCUGUUCAUUGACGAGGAGGCUGAAAUUCAGGAAGGUUAAGGGACGUGUGCGUGGUCACGAGGUGGGGGAAUGGUGGAACCCAGCUUUGGAUGCAGGCCAGUGCUCAGCUGUCCUCCGGUGGCCACAGGGAGUGGCAGUCUCUGGUUGACUGCCUGCCACUAGGGAUGGUUGAGCCCUCGGGCCAGGAGAUGCGAUGUCCUGUCGUGUGUCCCUUAAAGCGGUCCCAUGGUGGUGCUGGCUGAAGAGCAAGCACGUGGUCGUGAAGGAAGCUCGAGAGGCUGUCGCCACCUCUGGAACGCGGGUCCAGCUUUUAUCACACACAGAGGCUGAAGCAGAGAGAACAGCUUUCAUCUGCCAGGCCCCCAGAGUCAGAGAGAGAGAAACCAAAGUCUUCCACGGCGACGCGCCCAGUUUAUUUCUGGUUUCAGGAAAGCUGGGAGUACCAGCCUUAGGCAGCUGCGUUGAGGAGUGGCAAGGGGAAAGGAGGAAGAAUAUCCAGAGAAGAAAAGUCAAGAAUAUUCAGCAAACUCUCCGUGGACCCUACUUGGUGCAAAGCAGGCAGGUGACAGCGGGAGGAAGCACGGCGAAGGUUGACCCCAGCAACAAAUCCAAUUUUCACACAUCUCCUUCUGGACGGAAUGUGCCUUCGACGAGAGUGGGAGGCCAGUGAAAUGCAGCAGCGCAACCAGAGGCUUCUCUGGGCGGGG